rnacentral:rRNA from 1 species
UGGGGAAUAUUGGACAAUGGGCGGAAGCCUGAUCCAGCCAUGCCGCGUGUGUGAAGAAGGCCUUUUGGUUGUAAAGCACUUUAAGCGAGGAGGAGGCUCUUCUAGUUAAUACCUAGGAUGAGUGGACGUUACUCGCAGAAUAAGCACCGGCUAACUCUGUGCCAGCAGCCGCGGUAAUACAGAGGGUGCGAGCGUUAAUCGGAUUUACUGGGCGUAAAGCGUGCGUAGGCGGCUGAUUAAGUCGGAUGUGAAAUCCCUGAGCUUAACUUAGGAAUUGCAUUCGAUACUGGUCAGCUAGAGUAUGGGAGAGGAUGGUAGGAUUCCAGGUGUAGCGGUGGAAUGCGUAGAGAUCUGGAGGAAUACCGAUGGCGAAGGCAGCCAUCUGGCCUAAUACUGACGCUGAGGUACGAAAGCAUGGGGAGCAAACAGG